rnacentral:rRNA from 1 species
UCUCCUAAGGCUAAAUACUCUCUAGUGACCGAUAGUGAACCAGUACCGUGAGGGAAAGGUGAAAAGCACCCCGGAAGGGGAGUGAAAUAGAACCUGAAACCGUGUGCUUACAAGUAGUCAGAGCCCGUUAAUGGGUGAUGGCGUGCCUUUUGUAGAAUGAACCGGCGAGUUACGAUUUGAUGCAAGGUUAAGCAGUAAAUGUGGAGCCGUAGCGAAAGCGAGUCUGAAUAGGGCGUUUAGUAUUUGGUCGUAGACCCGAAACCAGGUGAUCUACCCUUGGUCAGGUUGAAGUUCAGGUAACACUGAAUGGAGGACCGAACCGACUUACGUUGAAAAGUGAGCGGAUGAACUGAGGGUAGCGGAGAAAUUCCAAUCGAACCUGGAGAUAGCUGGUUCUCUCCGAAAUAGCUUUAGGGCUAGCCUCAAGUGAUGAUUAUUGGAGGUAGAGCACUGUUUGGACGAGGGGCCCCUCUCGGGUUACCGAAUUCAGACAAACUCCGAAUGCCAAUUAAUUUAACUUGGGAGUCAGAACAUGGGUGAUAAGGUCCGUGUUCGAAAGGGAAACAGCCCAGACCACCAGCUAAGGUCCCAAAAUAUAUGUUAAGUGGAAAAGGAUGUGGCGUUGCCCAGACAACUAGGAUGUUGGCUUAGAAGCAGCCAUCAUUUAAAGAGUGCGUAAUAGCUCACUAGUCGAGUGACACUGCGCCGAAAAUGUACCGGGGCUAAACAUAUUACCGAAGCUGUGGAUUGUCCUUUGGACAAUGGUAGGAGAGCGUUCUAAGGGCGUUGAAGCAUGAUCGUAAGGACAUGUGGAGCGCUUAGAAGUGAGAAUGCCGGUGUGAGUAGCGAAAGACGGGUGAGAAUCCCGUCCACCGAUUGACUAAGGUUUCCAGAGGAAGGCUCGUCCGCUCUGGGUUAGUCGGGUCCUAAGCUGAGGCCGACAGGCGUAGGCGAUGGAUAACAGGUUGAUAUUCCUGUACCACCUAUAAUCGUUUUAAUCGAUGGGGGGACGCAGUAGGAUAGGCGAAGCGUGCGAUUGGAUUGCACGUCUAAGCAGUAAGGCUGAGUAUUAGGCAAAUCCGGUACUCGUUAAGGCUGAGC